UCAUUUCAAGAGCUUCUGAAAUUUUACUCUCAUUGAAGAAUCUUCCCAGAUCAGUUGGAAAUCCAGGCAGACACUUACUCAAGGUUCCCAGUCCAGGAAGAAUCACCAAUUUGUUAACUUCGACUACAAGCCAGAGUUUAUUGGGACAGGAAGGAGGAGGCUGCCUCUGACAAACGACACUAUCCACAAGUUGCAGUAUAGCAGUUGUUGUGAAGAAGGCAGAAACAAGCAACCUUUCUCUCUCCGAAGUCUGAAGGAAUGCUGUUAUGUUCUGGUAAAAGUCACUACAACAGUCUUUCUGUGUGGAGUCUCUAAAUAGUGCUUCGAUGGUCUUUAUGCAUCAUUCCACUUCUCGCAAGUUCCAGAGACAAGCAUCACAUUAAGUAUAUUUGGUACAGAUGGAGACGUG
rnacentral:lncRNA from 12 species